UCAAGUUUUAUUUUUCAUUUUGUUAGUUGGCCCAUAUGUAAGUGAGAGAGAGGGGGUGAGAGAAAAUGUUUUUUCUUUUUAUUUUUUCUCUGAGUGGGCCCCACAUGUAAGCGACACAUGGAGGCAGGGGCAAAAUGUUCAGGAAACGUCCGGUAGACAGUCAAAGGCCUUUGACCUGACGGAAACGGCACGGAAGGGCAUUUCUAUAAGGGCACCUAACGGCGGAGGGGCAUUUUUGAGCAGGCUUUCAAAUUAGGGGCAAAUGUGAGUAGUGAGUUCGAGUUAGGGACACAAAUGUAAAAGACCCUUUCCAAAAAGGCCAUCUUGAAUACUCUACGAAGCCAUCUUUAACUUCCAGUCGGACUUGGUCAUGCAGCUGACUGGACUGUCCGAGUCUUUUAGUGAAUUUGCAGGCCGUAUACUAUCUCAGAUGAUGAUGACCCCAAAACCAAAGUUGAACGUUUUGAUGAUACACAACUUUCAUGCUGAACACUUUUCCAUCCGAAGCUAUCUGGAUAACUUCCCAGUUACUAACAUCCAAAUGUGUAUGAACAUAUUAAGAGAAAAGAAGACGAAAGAAAUGUACCCAUGAUCCUUCCUUCUACAAGAGAGGGCGGGGAAGUGGUAGACAUGACAACAAGAGCCAAUAGGCACAUAGCAUGCUCGCUGUUCUUGGUAAGCGCCAUUAGGAGUACUUGAGUAGCUAACUUUCUUAUUGUUCUGCUACUGUUCUUGUCAAUAUGUUGUCGCAGCUAUGUCCCUAUGCUAGUGUUUAUAUAAC
rnacentral:lncRNA from 1 species